UGGGGAAUUUUGGACAAUGGGAGCAACCCUGAUCCAGCAAUGCCGCGUGUGUGAAGAAGGCCUUCGGGUUGUAAAGCACUUUUGUCCGGAAAGAAAACGCCGUGAUUAAUACCCGUGGCGGAUGACGGCACCGGAAGAAUAAGCACCGGCUAACUACGUGCCAGCAGCCGCGGUAAUACGUAGGGUGCAAGCGUUAAUCGGAAUUACUGGGCGUAAAGCGUGCGCAGGCGGUCCGCUAAGACAGAUGUGAAAUCCCCGGGCUUAACCUGGGAACUGCAUUUGUGACUGGCGGGCUAGAGUAUGGCAGAGGGGGGUAGAAUUCCACGUGUAGCAGUGAAAUGCGUAGAGAUGUGGAGGAAUACCGAUGGCGAAGGCAGCCCCCUGGGCCAAUACUGACGCUCAUGCACGAAAGCGUGGGGAGCAAACAGGAUUAGAUACCCCUGGUAGUCCACGCCCUAAACGAUGCUCAAACUAGUUGUCGGGUCUUCAUUGACUUGGUAAGCGUAGCUAACGCGUGAAGUUGNCCGCCUGGGGAGUACGGUCGCAAGACUGAAACUUAAAGG
rnacentral:rRNA from 1 species